CCUGGAAACCCUGACUUUAACCUUAAAAUAUCUCCAUUUGACCUCCUGUCACAAACCAACCAAGGCUCUGAAAUGAUCAGCUCUAUCUCCUCACAGGCAAAACAGCUGUGCCCAAGAAAAUGAAGAUAGCUGAGGAGCUGGUAUGAGUGUUACAAGUAAAUGAAGAUAUGAAGAAAGAAGUGAUGUGUUCUCUCUGGGCUGAUCCAUGAUCCACGUUGGGUGCUGCAGUCCCCAAAGUGACGUGGUGGAUGGACUCCACCCUGCAGUGAGGGGCUGAUCCCCACAGGAGCUGCAGCCACAUCUCAGCUUCCCCAGUUCCUGCAAAACCAAAGGGGGCCCAAACCCACACUCUGCGUCAGAACAUUUGAUAAGGAAAAAACCUUUCCAGGUGCCCGAGCACAAAACAAAUCCAGCUCUGACAGCAGGCCUGAGGCCGGAGAAGGUAAAGCUGAAGGGCAUCUGCAAGCACUGGUGAUAGGUGAUUCACCUGGGUCUUCCCCAAAAAGUGAACAUAAAAACUGUAGUAGUAUGGAAAGUUACACUACUGCAACAAGGAUCCAUUGGUACCCUGGGCACCUGGCAGCAAAGGAGAGCUGUUUUCCACAGGAAGGAAAGCUGUCCACUACCCUUCCCAACUGACUUAAGUACGACCAUAAACAGGACCCUAAACACCACCCCUGGCACUACAGGUGCAGCUAUAACCCUAACCUGAACACCAUGGCUGCUCCAGACUCAGAAAGUUGUAGGAGCAGCAAUGUUGGAACCCGUCAUGGAUCACAUGGGCAUUGCUUUUACUGCCCCAGUGUCCCCAGACCUGUAAGUUCUUUAACCCUAACCCUAGGGUUCUCUCAACCCUAACUCUAACCUUAACCUGAAUCCUAACCCCAACCCUUACCCUAACCCCAACCCUAGCCCAUUUCCAGCCCAGCACCCGCCUGCCAACGAUGGCUCUUUUCACAGAAGAAAGCUGUCCAUCCCCGUGUCUAGGGAGCAGUGGACAGGUAGCAUCCAGCAGUCCAAGGCCAGCCACAGCCCUAGCUCCUGGCAGCUUUUGUCUGGGAUAAAUCCUCCAACAUUUGCAAUUUUAGGAGGCAGAACCUUUUGCAGCCACAGGGCUCAGCAAGUGCCAUUCCCUGUUCCAAUGGCAAGCACACUAUAAACCCCUUCCUAAAUGAAGCAGUCUUUAAUAUGAAGUGACUUCCUUGCGAAGCAGAAAGAAGUUCCCGCCCAGGAUGCUCAUAAAACUAUUUAUCAUUUCCAGAGUACAUCCACUCUGGUCAAUGAUAAUAAUUUUUGCCCUUUUUGCUGCCUUCUCAAUAUUUUCUCACAGUCCCCACUGUUGUGAGUGCAUUUGGGAAAAAUACAAGCACUUGGUAUAGGCACUGAAGCACACAUUAGUUUUGGGACAGAUUUUUUUUUUUUUUUUUAACUUCCUUGAGUAAAAAAAUCCUAUCAUACUUAAUAAGUAGGUGUCCUCACUCCUUACCAUUGCUAGAGUGCCUUAAGGUGUAGCCUUAGGAAAAAUGCAUUACAGACUCCAGUCCUGACCAGAUGAAUGCUGCUCUUGUGAACAAAUUCUUUACAGUUCUCACAAGAUGAAGUCAGCAGCAAGUAAUGGGAAGUAUUGCAGGGCAUUGCUGUUGAAAAACCCUUUCUAUCAGCUGUGGAUCCACAAACCCCCACUGUGCAGCUUGUGACAUCAAAUUAUCCUCCACUAGAAAAGAAAAUACAAUAUUAGUCAGGGCUUUAACAGCCCUUCAAUAUGUCAUCAGCUUUAUUGGGACUAAAUCUCAGGCAGGCAGGUCACUCAGCUCUGUUCUCAUCCAAUGCUGUGUUUUGGUUUAACUGGUUUAUCAGGAGAAUCAAUCUUGCUGGUGUAAUAGGGGUUCUGGUA